GCCGAGCUAGGUAACGCUAGCUUGUAACUCGAGUGAGGGCAUUAAGGUGGGCUUGGGGGAGAAUACGAAAGGGAUCUGGCUCUCUCGCCUUU
rnacentral:SRP_RNA from 1 species